rnacentral:rRNA from 1 species
GGGGCGACUGAUAGGCGCCGGCGCACCGGCUGAAAAUUUCGGCCGGUCCCGCGUGGGCCGCACGAUCUAGCUUUUGUAGACCGUAUGAUUCCAUCGUCAACCUUAUAGAAAACGCUGCAGCAAAAAAGCAACGGGAAAAUGAAAGGGGAAAGAGACCAGCGCCCGCUCGUCCUCGGCCGCCGCCGACUCACGCUCGCCGACCUCGCCCGUUUGCCUCGCCGCAGAUGCUCACCGCUGAUGCUUGCCGCCGUCGCUCGCUCGCAACAAAUAAGCCGUUGACCAAAGCAGCCUUUUCUCUUGCCUCCGUGUUGCAUCCAUGGUAGCUCCGCGGCGCCGACCGCAACACCGUCCCUCGCCGGUGCUGCCCACCGCACGUUGCAGCAUCAAUGGUGACGGCGGCAUCGCUUGCAUACAAAGCCGAUGGUAGAAAAAACAAAGGAUUGCUGGUUCCAGCAAAAAUCGAAGCCGGUGGAAGCAAAAUUGGGGCUGGUUCCAGCAAAAAUCGAAGCCGGUGGAAGCAAAAUUGGGGCUGGUUCCAGCAAAAAUCGAAGCCGGUGGAAGCAAAAUUGGGGCUGGUUCCAGCAAAACUCGAAGCCGGUGGAAGCAAAAUUGGGGCUGGUUCCAGCAAAAACAAAAAACAGUGGUAGCAAAAAAAUGCUAGUUCUAUCAAAAAUUGAAAGCGGUGGUAGCAAAAAUUGGGCUGGUCAACAAAAUCAAGAUAGUAGAGUUGCAUCCCUUUUGGGUCAGAGCUGGAACCGGUUAGUGGCAGAGCUACAACCGGCUAUAGGAGAGUUGCAAUCGGCGAGCGGCCGAGCUGGAACGGGCUAGGUGUUCUCCUCCGCAGAUGCGCGUCUUUCCGCUCCGCUACACGGCCGCCUGCUUGUUUGAA